ACGGGGGGUGCAAGCGUUACUCGGAAUCACUGGGCGUAAAGAGCAUGUAGGCGGAUUGAUAAGUUUGAAGUGAAAUCCUAUAGCUUAACUAUAGAACUGCUUUGAAAACUGUUAAUCUAGAAUGUGGGAGAGGUAGAUGGAAUUUCUGGUGUAGGGGUAAAAUCCGUAGAGAUCAGAAGGAAUACCGAUUGCGAAGGCGAUCUACUGGAACAUUAUUGACGCUGAGAUGCGAAAGCGUGGGGAGCAAACAGG
rnacentral:rRNA from 1 species